rnacentral:rRNA from 2 species
GACGAACGCUGGCGGCGUGCCUAAUACAUGCAAGUCGAACGAACUCUGGUAAUGAUUGGUGCUUGCAUCAUGAAUUGCAUUUGAGUGAGUGGCGAACUGGUGAGUAACACGUGGGAAACCUGCCCAGAAGCGGGGGAUAACACCUGGAAACAGAUGCUAAUACCGCAUAACAACUUGGACCGCAUGGUCCGAGUUUGAAAGAUGGCUUCGGCUAUCACUUUUGGAUGGUCCCGCGGCGUAUUAGCUAGAUGGUGAGGUAACGGCUCACCAUGGCAAUGAUACGUAGCCGACCUGAGAGGGUAAUCGGCCACAUUGGGACUGAGACACGGCCCAAACUCCUACGGGAGGCAGCAGUAGGGAAUCUUCCACAAUGGACGAAAGUCUGAUGGAGCAGCGCCGCGUGAGUGAAGAAGGGUUUCGGCUCGUAAAACUCUGUUGUUAAAGAAGAACAUAUCUGAGAGUAACUGUUCAGGUAUUGACGGUAUUUAACCAGAAAGCCACGGCUAACUACGUG